UUUUCACUUGGCAUGGUUCCACUCUCAGGGCAUUAACUUCCAACAUAGAUGUUAUUUGCUUUCAAAACCAUAAUUCUAGCCCUGACCUCUCCUAGGACUUGGAUGAAUAUAUCACAAAUUAUCAGAGGUCACCAAAAAAACUGUUUCUAUUCUUAGUUUAUAGCAUAAGUCAUGUAGGAUGAUUUCAGAAGUCUUUGAAAAAUUCAAGUAAUUUUGGUUUUAAUCUAGUUUUGUUUUAGUUUCACCAUAGCCAUUUCAUCCAACUCAUUUUCUGCAGUAUAUUUGCAUCAAUCUUGUAUGAGAGUCACAUUUAAGAUACUGAACAUUUGUCAAAAUUUUAAAACAUUUGCAAAAUAUUUGAUUAAUUCAGAGUUUUUAAAAAUUGUAAAUAUGUUUAAAAUGAGUUCUUUUACACU
rnacentral:lncRNA from 1 species